UACGUAGGGCGCAAGCGUUGUCCGGAAUUAUUGGGCGUAAAGGGCUCGUAGGCGGUCUGUUGCGUCGGCUGUGAAAACCCGGGGCUCAACUCCGGGCCUGCAGCCGAUACGGGCAGACUAGAGUUCGGCAGGGGAGACUGGAAUUCCUGGUGUAGCGGUGAAAUGCGCAGAUAUCAGGAGGAACACCGGUGGCGAAGGCGGGUCUCUGGGCCGAUACUGACGCUGAGGAGCGAAAGCGUGGGGAGCAAACGGG
rnacentral:rRNA from 1 species